rnacentral:rRNA from 1 species
CCUACGGGGGGCUGCAGUGGGGAAUAUUGGACAAUGGGCGAAAGCCUGAUCCAGCCAUGCCGCGUGUGUGAAGAAGGCCUUCGGGUUGUAAAGCACUUUCAGUGGGGAAGAAAGCCUUGGGGCUAAUACCCUCGAGGAAGGACAUCACCCACAGAAGAAGCACCGGCUAACUCCGUGCCAGCAGCCGCGGUAAUACGGAGGGUGCGAGCGUUAAUCGGAAUUACUGGGCGUAAAGCGCGCGUAGGUGGUCUGAUAAGCCGGUUGUGAAAGCCCCGGGCUCAACCUGGGAACGGCAUCCGGAACUGUCAGGCUAGAGGGCAGGAGAGGAAGGUAGAAUUCCCGGUGUAGCAGUGAAAUGCGUAGAGAUCGGGAGGAAUACCAGUGGCGAAGGCGGCCUUCUGGACUGACACUGACGCUGAGGUGCGAAAGCGUGGGUAGCAAACAGGAUUAGAUACCCGGGUAGUC